GCUAUGAAGUAUACAGAAGUAGAAGAUUGUUUCUCAGAUGAGUGAGUUUAAGCUAUGAGUGAGAAGAGAGAGAAUCAAAUAGCUUCGUUGGACAUUAUCUCUAUCAUAUUCUGCUGUUUCUUGGAGUUAAGUUUAGAAGACUCAAGCAUUUUCUUUCAAAUACAAUUUGCAGAAGCAAUUAUAGAAAACAACAUCGUUUUCUGUCAAAGGAAAGAAGCAACUACAGAGGAAAAGCGAUGUCGAAUUGUUAAAUGAAAUUUUAGUUGCUGGCACGUGAUUCAAGCAAUUAGAUGGACACAUGUUGUAAUUUUAUUUGUUUUCCCUUUUAAGCUAUUAGAUUACUUUCUGUUUUA